CGGACGGGAGGCAGCGAGCGCCCUUGAUGGGAAGUUCGCGUGGGGGUGUAAUCACUGUGCUGCGGGCCGAAGAAAAUCACAAAAAAUAGUGGAUAUUGUGUGCAGGGUCAUGUGUUAUUGGCUGGCCCACGCUGCUUCCUGAAUCGAUCACGUUGUCGUAACUAGUUCUCCGUAGAUGCCCAAGCUCACAUCGCUCGCUCGUGCUGGCUUGUAGCGGGGGAGACUUGGGAGGCUUUUACCCCACGUAAGUGUUUACGUACAAAUAUGCGUGGAUGAUCAAGAAUAAAAUCACCUGUCAGUGCUGUUGGCCCAAGCUACUCAGUGCUGGCAUGCAGCAGAUCUUCCAUGGCGCGGUGCUCAUUGUUUCAAAGGACCUCCGACAGGAACUUGUCGCCGCCCUGUGUGCCCUCGCCACAUGAAGCCUC